UUGGCCACUCAGGGAAAAGAGCAACAAGAGAGGAAGUCUGGGUGUGCAAGAGCCUUCCUCACUCCAGGCAGAGGAGUGAGCUCAUCUCCAGGGCUCAUGAUGGAGCACACAAGAUCUGCAUCAGCGCCAUCAAUAGUAGCACCCAGUGUGACAGGAACCUCCUCCUUGGCAAAGCCAUCCAUACCAACAGAACAGUUUGGAGUCAUCUCCUGCCUCCCAGAUGGCUCGUUCCUGGUGCAGAAGUCUGGGGAGCCAGGAUCUCCCUGCAGCAGAGUGCACGGGAUUGCUGCCCUGAGCUGGCUACACUUCAGCUUUCAGCCUUUUUGUGAAUGCUCCAGGAGAUAAGCACUGAGAUACAGGAGAUAAGCAACGUAAAGAGCUCACUUCUUCCCUCCUGAACACUACCACCUGAUGAAAACACAGUUUCUAAAGUAAAGGAGGGGCUCUUUAUGUUGGUUUUUUUGGAAGAACACGAUGGAAGUCUGCACUGUCUGUAGCCCAAUCCAGUGGAAGGUUCCCCAUCCAUGGCUGUAGGUUGGAAUGGGAUGGUUUUUGACUGCCCUUCCAACACAAACCAUUCCAUGAUUCCAUGGUUCUAUGUCAUCAGCAGACAACUGACACACAUUGGCUUCAGUGGAUUCUCCAUGGUUCAAAGUCCAGCUGGGAGAAAGGUCUUUCUUGUGAGGAGACACUGUGGGAGCCAGGCCUGGUUAGUCUGGAGAAGACUGAGAGGGAUCUCAUCAAUCCACACAAAUAUCUCCAAGACAGGAGUCAAGAGGAUGGUGCCAGGCUCUUUUUAUGGUGCUCAGCAACAGGAAAAGGUCAAUGGCCAUAAAUUAAAAUACAAGUUGCACCUCAACCUGAGGAAGAACCACUUUUCACAGAGGGUGGAACAGCAGCCCAGGGAGGGCACGGAUCCUCCAUCUCUGGAGACAUUCCAAACCCACCUGGAUGUGUUCCUGAGUCACCUUGCCUUGGCAGGGGGUUGGAUUGGAUGAACUCCAGAGGUCCCUUCCAACCCUAAAGAUUCUAUGACUCUGUGAAUAUAUGAAGAAGCUCAACCUAGCAGGACAGGCUGAAUCUCACCCUACUUUCCUUUCUAAAUUUGGUCUAUCCACAUGGACACACUUGCCAUGAAACACCCGAGGAUCUCUAAAACACAGGUAGCCACCCUGACCUCACAGAGGUGCUACUUUACACAACAGAGUUCCUUAACAUUCUCAUCAGAUCCAGGGGAGGAGAGGGCAUACACCAAAUACAUGGAAUGUUAAGUAAUUCAGUUAUUUUGCAUCGAGAAGAUUAUGGACAAUGCCCUAAAUGUCCAACUUUUAGAGAAUCUUGAAAAAAACCAUGUCCCUUCCACUCUUUUUUUGGUCAACACAAGGCUUGGCAGUGAUAAACCCACACAUCUCUGCUGCGCACAGCAGUGAGGACUGCAGAAAUCAAUGGUGAAUCCCCAUCUAUGUCCCCUACAAAAAGCUUCCUGCCAUGACAACCCCCAUUCUCCUACUCCAUAUCCCCAUGAUGCUUCUGUUACAACCUCUCCACACCCUCCCUGUAUCAUGGACACUCUCCCUCCUCAGCUUCAGGACCCAUCCAUGCCUCAAUUUGUUCUCCAAAGCAUCCAGAGAGGAAGCAAACAACCCACAUGGCUGGUAGACAGGGAGAAAAAGGCAGGAUGCAGCUUCUGGGGCCAAGAAACAUCAUCCUUGUGGUACCCACAAGCACUCGGCCUGUGGUGCUGGCUGAAGAUGUGAGGGAAAAGAGAAGCAACAUCCCCAAGGUUUCUUACAACUAUUUUUAUGAUUGAUGCUGGGAAAGAGGAGAGGGAGUGGGGAGUAAGUUUUUCCCCCCUUUGUUAUGUCAUCUAAGCACCCACUAAAUAAAGAACCAGCUGUCUUCAUCCUGCAAUCCAGAUGGAUGUCCCUCUGCAACAGGAGGAUGCACCACAGCAUCUCGCCUCGCAUUUCCAAUGCCGGGAUUCAAUACAGCGACUGCAACUUUUAAUGCCUUUUACAAACAUCUAAUUCACUCUGUAUUAAUCCCCCAGAGCAGCUACUCCUUCAUUUUACCCUUGGAGACAUCAAGCUAAAAUAUUCAUCAGCUUGAACACAAAAACCUACAGCUCUAAGCAGUUGUUGAGGACAGAGGACGUGCUGUUACCCAGUUCUCUGAUAUAUACAGCAGUAUAACACCAUCCUUGCAAUAAAAGUACAGAAUGAGCCUCUAAA